CUUAUAAACACAUUACAAGAAAAAUCAGAAAUAUAGUGAGAUCUGAUGAAGGCCCUAAUAUGUCUCUUAAAGUGGUGAUCGACACUUUAUAUAUAGUCACAUGGCUUUAAAUUGGAAAACAUUUGUGGGAAAUAUCAAUUUACAAUGUACAAGGAUUUUCACUUUUAUAUCACCUAAAUAUGAUGCAAUUCAGCAUUAUGUGUAUUUCUCUCAAAUUCUUCUUGAACAGGCUGGAAACAAUGAUAAAUCUUCGAUAGUAUAAAAUGUAACAACCAAAAACAUUAAGAUACAUGAAAUGAUAGCUUCAUAAUAGGGAAUCCAACAUAGUUUGUAGGAUAUAACAAUGUCAUUUAGAUGCAAGUACAACAGAGCUGAUACACCGGGCAGAAUUCACCAGCCAAGUCAUGGUGAUAAAAUGGCUGUGGCUUCCAACUCCGCUCCUUAAAGGACCACUAUAGUGCCAGAAAAACAUACUCAGGGUUCCCCUCCCGCCCGGCUCUGGGGAGAGGAAAGGGGUUAAAACUUACCUUUCUCCAGCGCUGGGAGGGGAGAUCUUCUCCUCCGAUCCUCCUCCUCUCCUCCCAUUCGGCUGAAAGCGCACGCGCGGCAAGAGCUGCAUUCAGCCGGUCUCAUAG